CGGAAGCCUCCCAUUUCCUCUUCCUCCGCUCCUCCCCUCCCACAAAGCAUAGCCACCAUCCUUACUUUUACCACCACAGAAGAAUCUCGUCUAUAUCCAGUUGACCCAGCACUAUUUUUUGAGAAGACCAUCCUUUCCCUGCUUUGCUGCAACAUCAACUUUCUCCUAAACUGAGUGACUGAAUAUGAGUGGUUUGGGUAGAAAUUUUAUAGGUAAGAAUUGCGGCGAGGACAGGUCACAAGGGGGAAAGAAAAGCAAGAGGAGAACUUUGGAGUCAAGGCAGAAUGCUCAGUCCACUUGCUCCUUCUUUCUUGCUUACAUUCGUAAGUGCAUACCAGGCACUGGAGAUACAACUGUGAGCAAGAGAGAUAUGGUCCCUGACCUCACAGAACUUAUUGCAUAGCAGGGAAGACAAGCAACUAAACAAAUACAAUACAGAAUGGUGAUUUUUGUGAUAGGAAAGAGUUCAGGGUGUUAUGUAAGCCUCUUGCACUUAGCUCAGCCCAGAGGUUGGGAAGAAAGCGCCCCAGGAGAAAUAACAUCUAAACUAAGAGUAAAAAUUGAGUAGGAGUGAGUCAGGGGAAGAGAGGGAAGAGAGGAAGAGAGAUAAAGAAGAGACACGAGCUCGAGAGAGAAGCUUCAGUUUAGCAGACGACCAAGGGAGCAGUGGGAGAUGGGCUGGGAAGAGAAGACAGGCUCCAGGAUGAAGGAUCUUCAGUACUUGACUAUUUUAAAGGCAGUGGGGAGCCACUGAAGGUGCUUGACUAUUGAAGUGACAAGAUCAGAUCUGUGCCUUAAGGAGAUUAGUCCUACAAUGUGCAGAAUGGUUUGGCGUGGGCAAGACCGGAGGCUGGGGGAACAAUUUACAGUCUAUCGCAAGAAGCAACAGGCGCAUCUGUGUAUCUGUUAGUUUUAAAAUGCCUUUUCUAAGAAACCCACUAAUUGUCAAGUUUUGUUCUUUUCCUUUUUUUAAGUAGCUAUUUGUGGGUGUGCAGUAACCCAACAAAAAUGUCUCCAGGAAUCGUCUCAGGCCCACUGGAUGGGAGCACACACUGGGGGCAUUGUCCCAGCUCUGUAGGCCUUUGUCUCAGGACACCCAUCCCUUGCAUAGAACAUUUCCUGGCAAAGAAGCAAACUGCUGUGGCUCAGCAGAUACUACUGCCCCAGACUCUGUCUGCCCACGUUUGGGAGAAACAGGUGAAAACAAGACUGGCCUUCAAUUCUCUAGCCAUAGGAAGCCCUAUGUCCAAUUACAGCCCAAGGUCCCUUCCCAGCUCAAACUCAAUCUCUUAAAUGAAUUUUACCUGGGCCCCCUGAUGCUCUUAAAGAAUGCUGCAGUGGCUUCCUUCAUGUCAGAGAAAUACAACGACCAGUUUAUUCAUUCUUUCCAGCUUUCCAGUUCCUGCCUUGGGAGUCACAUGGGAGUAAAAGAGAGAAAAAACAUCAGUGUAUGAGUAUUCACAACCUUGAAUGGACGAAUCUGUGAACUGGGCAGUUUGCUCUGCAUGAUAAAGACCAGAGGGGAGAAGAGCACGGUGGGGGCCAGCCCACUGGUGAAAGUGCUUAAGUUCUCAUGCUCUGCUUCAGUGGCCCGGGGUUGGCAGGUUCGGAUCCUGGGCGCAGACCUACGCAUUGUUCAUCAAGCCAUGCUGUGGCAGCAUCCCACAUACAAAAUGGAAGAAGACUGGUUCAGCUGUUAGCUCAGGGACAAUCUUCCUCACCAAAAAAAAAAGAAGAAGAAGAAGACUGUGAUGUUUGUUCUGUUCUAUCUGCUUUCCCCCACUGCCCGGCCCCCAGCACAGAGACUUCUACCCUUCUCUCCCUUCAGGGGCACCCUGCAUCUUGACCAUACAGAGCCCCUCUUGUUUAAUCAUUUUUCCACUUCAUCCUGAAUCCCCGCUUCUACAUUUCUUCUCCACCAUAGACACUCCCUUUAAUUUCUUCAAUUUGUCUCAUACUAAAAACAAACAAAAACUUUCCAUUGAUGAAAUGGCCCCUCCAGGCACUGCGCGACCCCUCUGCUUUUCUUGAUGGCAAAAUGCUUCAAAACUGCCAUGUCGGGAAGAGUCUUGGGAACACUGUGGGUGGGGACAGAAUGGAAUGGAGGAGAGGCCCAUAGAAGUGGACAGAGGGCAUGAGUGGAAUAAAGCAGACCCCGCAUAGGUAUAGAGUUGAGGGUCAAGUGGAGUCACUGCCUCUGUCCUACUGGUCUGUGAGGUGGCCAGAGGCCCGGGGUCCCCACUGGGUGUGCUGGGAUGGCUGUCCUGGGCAGUCUUGGGGCUGCUGGUGGCUGGACACGAAGGUCAUGGCAACCUGUGCAAGGACCUGCAUGAGGACCCCUAUGGCUGCAGCCACAGGCACUCACGUGUGGAUUUCUACCAUGGACACAGCCAUGCCUGUGGCCAUGGGUCACCUUCAUUAGGGCAUCUGGCAUGUACAUACUCAUGGUCACAAUCGCGGACAUUCGCAUGAGGAUGUGCACCAUGGCCACUCCCACGAGAGCCUCUACCACAGAGGACAUGGCCAUGGCCACGAGGACAGUCACGGAGGCUGUGGGGAGUCAGGGGCUCCUGGCAUCAGGAAGGACCUGGACUCUGGAGGCCACAGUGCUGACUCUGUAGCUCCAUUUUUCAUCCUCUUCUUUACUCCUGUGGAGUCAAACUCCUGGCAUCGCCCUCUGCUCUAGAUUUUGCUCUGUUUUGCUUCGAGUGGGCUCCUGGGAGAUGCUUGCCUGCAACUCAGCGCUCCUGCCCCGGAGCCUCAUUCUCACCACCCCCUGGAGCACUGUGGGAGGGCCCCAUCUGUCCACGGGACUGUGGGUCCUCGGUGGAACUGUUGCUUCUCUUGUGGUGGAGAAAUUUGUGAGACACGUGACAGGAGGACAUGCACACGCUCACGGUCACACGUGGAAGACAAGAGCGUCCUUCGAAGGAGAAGCAGAGCUCAGAGGAAGAAGAAAAGGAAGCGGGGGGUCGUGGAAGAGGAGAGGAGGGAGCACAGACCCAAAGAUGGGCCGUGGAGACCUCACAAUUCUGAAGGGGGAAAAACAGGUUCAGACCUGCGUGUAUCGGGGAACCUGAAUAUGGCUGCUGACCUGGCACACAGCUUGCUGGAUGGUCUGGCCAUUGGCGCUUCAUUUCAAGGGGAUCAGGAGCUGGGAUCCUGCGCAUAUGACUGUCCUGCUACAUGAAGUGCAUCCUGGUCCAGUUUGGCAAUAGGCACACUGGCAGGCACAGCCUGUGCCCUUCUAACGCUAGGAGGGACAGUGGGCAGUGAAGCGCAGUGGUACAGGUGGCGGCUGGGUUCUGCCUUUCACUGCAGGCGGCUUUAUCUCCGUAGCAAUGGAGUCUGUGUUGUCUGAGCUGUCACAUCUGGAGGUGCUGGGGCGGUGGGGCAAGCUGUCAUGAUGGUGCUGAUUGCCCACCUGGAGGGAGACGUGGGCUAAACCGCCCCCCCCCCCGUGCCAAAUCUCUAGCCUCUAACUCCUCCAGGUUGGGGUGUGUGGAGGUUGGGGUCCUGGCAGAGAACAUCUGUCAAAGGAAGGAGCUGUAUCCUAAGGCAGAGGCGACUUGAUGUAAGGGCCAUCGAGGUUUGGCAGCCUCACAGGGGCUGGAGAGGUGAGAAAGAAAAGCACCACGGUGCUGGGCACAGGCCAAUCAUGUUGGUGGGUCAGGGGGCCUGAGUGGGGCCAAAAAGAAAGCUGGAAGAGAGAGGAACGAUGGCAGUCCAGCCCAUGUCUCCACCCUACCUGUUCUCAGAGGACUAAGCUGCCACACACAGGCUUCUCCAAGGCCCACCUCCCUCUCCCCCACCUGUUGGUGGAGGCUUCAGGGAAGAGCAGAAUUUGGACACAGCGGGAAGCAGGAAUUGCGGAGGAUAAACAUCAAUUAAACUUCAACCACGUGUCUUGAUUUGAUAGUGAAUGAGGGAGGGGAGUUAGCUGCUAAUCUCAUGGACUGAUUUUUGUGUGUUUCUAUUCUUUUUAUAUCACCGUUUGGAUCAAGAGAGAAGAGUGGUGACCAGAAAUAAAGUCCUUGAAUUUUCCACCCCAUUAAAAAAAAAACAAAACUGUUGUCCCUACUUGUUUUAUCCACUUUUUCU
ensembl:lncRNA